UACGUAGGGAGCAAGCGUUGUUCGGAAUUACUGGGCGUAAAGCGCACGUAGGCGGCUUUGUAAGUUAGAGGUGAAAGCCCGGGGCUCAACCCCGGAACUGCCUUUAAGACUGCAUCGCUUGAAUCCAGGAGAGGUGAGUGGAAUUCCGAGUGUAGAGGUGAAAUUCGUAGAUAUUCGGAAGAACACCAGUGGCGAAGGCGGCUCACUGGCCUGGUAUUGACGCUGAGGUGCGAAAGCGUGGGGAGCAAACAGG
rnacentral:rRNA from 1 species